GUACUUUAUAUAAAUUCACUACAGCUUUCUGACAGGCAUUUUUUUGUUUUUCUUCCACAGUUGAUUGGCUUUGUGUAUGCCUGUUAUGUGAUCAGUGUUUUCAUGGAGGAAGAGGACAGCUUUGACUUCAUAGGUGGACUUGACACACACUCCUACCAUCAGUCCCCCCAGGAUCAUGUUGAAUUAAAGCCUGUUAAACCUGUCGAAAUAAAUAAUGAACACUGACUCCAUUCUACAGCUGUGGAAGUUGAUCUCAAAAGGAAGCCCCCUUCCACCUCAGUUGAAAGUGCUUCAGAAGAUGCAGCACAUCUGGAAUUCUUUAUGGGGACUGAACUGUUCCUUUCUCCUUUACUACUUGUCACUGAAUCCGUCAGUCACAGCAUUUGUAUUAUUAGCAUUGUCACUAGAAAAAUUGUAGAUGCUUAGGUGGGUAUUUUUUAAAUCAUCAUCUUCAAUGGACACAUGUAAAUUGUAAAAAAGAAAAAUUUUUAAUUUUUUUGUACGAUAUUUCAUGUGAGGCAUGGAAACAAAAAGAAUCUGCAGUCAACUUCUAAGUGACUUACAUGUGUGUACUGUCAAGAUAUUAAGUCAGUAUUUCCCAAUGGACAUGGGGUUGGACCGUGUUGAGUAGAAUCUGUCAGAGAGAAUAUCUGGAGAAUAUUGGCAGCUGGGUAGACACUGUAACAUAGGUCAUAUGUGUAAAAAUGGCUUAACAGGCAUUGUGACUAUGGUUAUGUUGUCAAAACUACCCUAUUAUAGCAUGAAAUAAUCUUUUGGUUUAGACAUUUCCAUCCCCAAAUAGUCAUCAGUCUAUAGUUCCAAAUUUUCAUAUUAUUCCUUGCUCUUUUCCUGCUCAAAUUGUUUUUUGUUUAAGAAUCAUGAAUCUAUGAAGAAGAGUCAAAUGAAUAUAUUUGGCACUAUAUUUUCACAUCAUGGCUGCCACAUCUUACAUACCUAUAAAUUGCCCACUUUCUACUCUGAGUUCUAGUUCUACUCACUGGUCAGUGAAAAGAUAGAUCAGGAAUUUGGUUCAACCCUUUUCUUUGACAGGUAAGAAAACUGAAGCGAUCUUCCACUAAUGUGGUUUUGAAGGCAAUGCCAAUCACAAUCUUGAAAGUUCUUUGGGAUACAACCCUUUUAGUAUGUAUAAUGAGAAAUUCCUGUAAAUACUUCUAAAGAAUUAUUAUCUGUUUAAUACAUAGCUUUCCCCGGCUUCUGACAACAUAACUAAGAAAGUGAGUUAGAAAAAUCAUUUCCUGAGGUAGAAAGAACUGUCAUGAAUAAUCUUAGUUUUCCUUUGCUUAGUUCAUACUUUUCAACUAUUAUUCCCUAUGUAAAAGGAAUCUUUAAUCUCUGAAGCAGGAGGGAAGGGUAUCUUUUGGAUCACAGACUUUCUUGGCCCACUAACUACUUGCCUAAAUAUACCAUAUUUUUAGUUUAGCCGAAGAAAUUCAAACUUCAGAAGAUGUUACUUGGGAUGUGAGUUAAUUAUAAUGACAGGGAGGUAUUUGUGGACUUCUAAAAAACCUUG